rnacentral:rRNA from 1 species
UACGCGAGCUGGGUUUAAAACGUCGUGAGACAGUUUGGUCCCUAUCUGCCGUGGGCGUAGGAGAUUUGAGAGGCUCUGUUCCUAGUACGAGAGGACCGGAAUGGACGAACCACUGGUGUUCCUGUUGUCCCGCCAGGGGCAAUGGCAGGGUAGCUACGUUCGGAAAGGAUAACCGCUGAAAGCAUCUAAGCGGGAAGCCCCCCUCGAGACAAGAUCUCCCUGGAACUUCGGUUCCCUGAAGGCCCGUUGAAGACUACAACGUUGAUAGGCCGGGUGUGUAAGCACGGUAACGUGUUCAGCUAACCGGUACUAAUUGGCCGUGAGGCUUGACCAUAAAA